rnacentral:rRNA from 1 species
AGAGUUUGAUCAUGGCUCAGAUUGAACGCUGGCGGCAUGCUUUACACAUGCAAGUCGAACGGUAACGGGCCUUCGGGUGCCGACGAGUGGCGAACGGGUGAGUAAUGUAUCGGAACGUACCUUUCAGUGGGGGAUAACGUAGCGAAAGUUACGCUAAUACCGCAUAUUCUGUGCGCAGGAAAGCAGGGGAUCGCAAGACCUUGCGCUGAUUGAGCGGCCGAUAUCAGAUUAGCUAGUUGGUGAGGUAAAGGCUCACCAAGGCGACGAUCUGUAGCGGGUCUGAGAGGAUGAUCCGCCACACUGGAACUGAGACACGGUCCAGACUCCUACGGGAGGCAGCAGUGGGGAAUUUUGGACAAUGGGGGCAACCCUGAUCCAGCCAUGCCGCGUGAGUGAAGAAGGCCUUCGGGUUGUAAAGCUCUUUCGGCCGGGAAGAAAUCGUGCGGGCUAAUACCCUGUAUGGAUGACGGUACCGGAAGAAGAAGCACCGGCUAACUACGUGCCAGCAGCCGCGGUAAUACGUAGGGUGCGAGCGUUAAUCGGAAUUACUGGGCGUAAAGCGUGCGCAGGCGGCUCUAUAAGACAGAUGUGAAAUCCCCGGGCUUAACCUGGGAACUGCGUUUGUGACUGUAGGGCUUGAGUGCGGCAGAGGGGGGUGGAAUUCCACGUGUAGCAGUGAAAUGCGUAGAGAUGUGGAGGAACACCGAUGGCGAAGGCAGCCCCCUGGGUCGACACUGACGCUCAUGCACGAAAGCGUGGGGAGCAAACAGGAUUAGAUACCCUGGUAGUCCACGCCCUAAACGAUGCGAACUAGGUGUUGGGGAAGGAGACUUCUUUAGUACCGUAGCUAACGCGUGAAGUUCGCCGCCUGGGGAGUACGGUCGCAAGAUUAAAACUCAAAGGAAUUGACGGGGACCCGCACA